rnacentral:lncRNA from 1 species
GUCGCCAACUUAUUUUUUUCUCUUUAUAUGUAUGAUAUUUUGAAGAUAUUUUUUAUGAACAAUUAGUAAAAUGAACUAAUUUACUAUGAAAAAAUAUGGAAAGGGGUGUUCCAUAUUUUUUUUGGCAUAUUUUGGUGUGAAUUUUUGAGUAGGGGCGACAACACAUCAAGUCCGUGAUCUCUAGAACUCUUCACCCCACCUCCUUAUACAUUGAAAUAAAAGGAGUUUUAUUUUAUUCUGGUGCAUGUAAAGACC